rnacentral:rRNA from 1 species
UAAUUGAAGAGUUUGAUCAUGGCUCAGAUUGAACGCUGGCGGCAGGCCUAACACAUGCAAGUCGAGCGGUAACAGGAGAAAGCUUGCUUUCUUGCUGACGAGCGGCGGACGGGUGAGUAAUGUAUGGGGAUCUGCCCGAUAGAGGGGGAUAACUACUGGAAACGGUGGCUAAUACCGCAUAAUGUCUACGGACCAAAGCAGGGGCUCUUCGGACCUUGCACUAUCGGAUGAACCCAUAUGGGAUUAGCUAGUAGGUGGGGUAAAGGCUCACCUAGGCGACGAUCUCUAGCUGGUCUGAGAGGAUGAUCAGCCACACUGGGGCUGAGACACGGCCCAGACUCCUACGGGAGGCAGCAGUGGGGAAUAUUGCACAAUGGGCGCAAGCCUGAUGCAGC